rnacentral:rRNA from 1 species
UACAGGGGGUGCAAACGUUGCUCGGAAUCAUUGGGCGUAAAGCGCACGUAGGCGGUCUGUUAUGUCGGAUGUGAAAUCCCCGGGCUCAACCUGGGAACUGCAUUUGUGACUGCACAGCUUGAGUGCGGCAGAGGGGGAUGGAAUUCCGCGUGUAGCAGUGAAAUGCGUAGAUAUGCGGAGGAACACCGAUGGCGAAGGCAAUCCCCUGGGCCUGCACUGACGCUCAUGCACGAAAGCGUGGGGAGCAAACAGG